rnacentral:rRNA from 1 species
UACGAAGGGGGCUAGCGUUGCUCGGAAUGACUGGGCGUAAAGGGCGCGUAGGCGGUUUGGACAGUCAGAUGUGAAAUUCCUGGGCUCAACCUGGGGGCUGCAUUUGAUACGUUCGGACUAGAGUGGGGAAGAGGGUCGUGGAAUUCCCAGUGUAGAGGUGAAAUUCGUAGAUAUUGGGAAGGAACACCGGUGGCGAAGGCGGCGACCUGGUCCUUGACUGACGCUGAGGCGCGAAAGCGUGGGGAGCAAACAGG